rnacentral:ncRNA from 1 species
AAUUUUAUAGAUAAAACUAUUUUUUUUCUUAUAAAUAAAAAUUUUUUUUAAAUUAUUUUUUAAAUUAAUAAAUAAAUAUAUAAAAAUUUUUAUUAUUUUAAAAAAUUUUUAAAAAAUUAUUUUUAUAUUAAUAUUUAAUUUUAAAAAAUAAAAAAAUUUAUAUUUAGUUUAUAUAAAAUUAUAUUAAUAAAAUUUGUGCCAGCAAUUGCGGUUAAACAAAUAAUAUUUAAAAAAUAUUUUUAUUUAAAUUAAUAUUAUUUAUAAUAAUAAAAAAAUAUUAAUUUUUUAAGUAAAAUUUCAAAUUAAUUUAAAAUAUUAAAAAAUUAAAUUUAAAUUAAAAAAAAAUAAAUAAACUAGGAUUAGAUACCCUAUUAUAAUAUUUAAAUUUAUAAUAAAAAUAUUAAUAAUAAAAUUUUAAAUUAAAAAAAUUGAUAAUAUUUUAUUUAGAUUAGAGGAACCUGUUUAAUAAUUGAUACUCCACAAUGAAUUUUAUUUAAUUUAUAAAAUUUGUAUAUUGUUGUUAUAAAAAUCUUUUUUAUAAAAAAAAUUUUUAAAAUUUUUAAAAAUAAUUAUAUCAAAUCAAAAUGCAGUUUAUAAUUAAAAUUAAAAUGGGUUAUAAAAAAUUUAUUUUUGAAAAUAAAAAUUUAAAAUUUUUAUAAAAUUUAGAUUUAAAAAUAAUUUGAUUAUCUAAAUUAAAUGAAAAUAUUUUAAAAUAUAUACAUAUUGCCCGUCACUUUCAUUAUAAAUGAAAUAAGUCGUAACAAAGUAGAAAUAUUGGAAAAUAUUUCUAGAAUUAA